AAAUAAUGGAGAUUAGAUAAUUAAUGGAAUGAUUUCAAAAGAGCAAUAGAUUAUGCAUCAUGAUUUUCGUAAAUAUAGUAAGAUUUAUGCAUAUCCUCUUCGUCCAAUUCGAUAAUCGAAAACGCAGCACGAGAUGUUUUUCUUCCGUUAAAAAUCGUGUCUUUGGAUGUUUCGCUUCAGAUUACUAGUUUACUAUAAGACGAGAAAAAGAAAUUUCAAUAUGAACAAUCAUUUCAACAAUCGUUCAACACGAUGAUUAAUCAGAUAAGCGAUUCCAUUUCUUUCUACUUUCUUCUACAUUCCCUAUGGAUGCAUCAAUGGCAAUGGAUGAUUCUUCCCAUUUAAUGGCGAGUCGUAUGCAUUUUUGUUCCUCUGAUCAUUCAUCUCGUAAUCGUAAUCCGCCACGAAAGAUCCAAAUCAAUAUGAGUGACUGCUUGUAUACAUAGAUUUUUACACAGUGAAGACAGU